UACGGAGGAUGCAAGCGUUAUCCGGAAUUAUUGGGCGUAAAGGGUCCGCAGGUGGUGAAUCAAGUCUGUUGUCAAAGCGUGGAGCUUAACUCCAUAAGGGCAAUGGAAACUGAUUGACUAGAGUACAGUAGGGGUUGCGGGAAUUCCCAGUGUAGCGGUGAAAUGCGUAGAUAUUGGGAAGAACACCAGCGGCGAAGGCGCGCGACUGGACUGAGACUGACACUGAGGGACGAAAGCUAGGGGAGCGAAAGGG
rnacentral:rRNA from 1 species